UUAAUUCUGCCUCUGAAUAUAAUAAAAACAGAAUGAUACAGAAAAGUUUGGCAUAGCCCCUGCUCAAGAACUAUAAAUAUUUUUUUCAAAUAUUCCAUAUUUGU